GACAGAGGGUGCAAACGUUGUUCGGAUUUACUGGGCGUAAAGCGCGUGUAGGCGGCUUGGCAAGUCGGAUGUGAAAGCCCACGGCUCAACCGUGGAAGCGCAUCCGAAACGGCUCGCUCGAGUCUCGGAGAGGAAGGUGGAAUGCUUGGUGUAGAGGUGAAAUUCGUAGAUAUCAAGCAGAACACCUGCGGCGAAGGCGGCCUUCUGGACGAUGACUGCGCUGAGACGCGAAAGCGUGGGGAGCAAACAGG
rnacentral:rRNA from 1 species